GGCACCUGUGCCCCUUUGUCCUGUCUUUGCUUCCUGAUCGGUCCCUGCUGUGUCUGUGGCUAGUGUUUGUUGCACCCAGCUGUCUUUUCAGGCAAACGUGGAACCCUCCCCUUCCACCUGCGGGCAGCCACGGCACCCUGGGUCCCUUUCUGGCAGACCGCUCCUUCGUUUGGUCUCUGGUUCCCUCGCCACCAUCACCAGUGUCUAGGCUCAAUCGGGGGGAAUAUGUCUGGCUUCUCUACCCCUUUAAAAUAUUUUAACGAUGGUGUCUAAUCCCCAAAGACUCUGUACUUAUUCUGUACAUGUACAAUAAAUCUUUGCAUAUCUGCAACAAAGUC